UACGGAGGGAGCUAGCGUUAUUCGGAAUUACUGGGCGUAAAGCGCACGUAGGCGGCUUUGUAAGUAAGAGGUGAAAGCCUGGAGCUCAACUCCAGAAUAGCCUUUUAGACUGCAUCGCUUGAAUCAUGGAGAGGUGAGUGGAAUUCCGAGUGUAGAGGUGAAAUUCGUAGAUAUUCGGAAGAACACCAGUGGCGAAGGCGGCUCACUGGACAUGUAUUGACGCUGAGGUGCGAAAGCGUGGGGAGCAAACAGGG
rnacentral:rRNA from 1 species